rnacentral:misc_RNA from 1 species
ACAAAUCUGAGUUGUGGGCGUGUGCACAUGCAUGUGUGCACACCGCCUGCACAUUUACCCCGAGCCGGCCUAAACAGCCGGCUUUGGUUUGGGCCUCCGGGCUCAAGGCGAUGGCUGUGCGCGUGGUAGGGCGCUUGCCCGCUUGCGGUGUGAGCGCCUCUUCUCCCACAGCCUAGCGCCACAUAGACGCUUGCUUUGUUUGACAGAGUUUCACAGUGUAUCACACACACAAAUGA